rnacentral:rRNA from 1 species
UACGUAGGGGGCAAGCGUUGUCCGGAAUCAUUGGGCGUAAAGCGCGUGUAGGCGGCUCGGUAAGUCUGCUGUGAAAGUCCAGGGCUCAACCCUGGAAAGCCGGUGGAAACUGUCGAGCUAGAGUCCGGAAGAGGCGAGUGGAAUUCCUGGUGUAGCGGGUGAAAUGCGCAGAUAUCAAGGAGGAACACCAAUGGCGAAGGCAGCUCGCUGGACGGUACUGACGCUGAGACGCGAAGCGUGGGAGCAACAGG